rnacentral:rRNA from 1 species
UAGUUGGCAGGGUAAAAGCCUACCAAGGCUGUGAUCGGUAGCCGGCCUGAGAGGGCACACGGCCACACUGGCACUGAAACACGGGCCAGACUCCUACGGGAGGCAGCAGUGGGGAAUCUUGCACAAUGGGGGAAACCCUGAUGCAGCGACGCCGCGUGAGCGAUGAAGCCCUUCGGGGUGUAAAGCUCUUUCGGCAGGGAAGAUUAUGACGGUACCUGCAGAAGCAGCUGCGGCUAACUACGUGCCAGCAGCCGCGGUAAUACGUAGGCAGCAAGCGUUGUUCGGAGUUACUGGGCGUAAAGGGUGUGUAGGCGGCCCGCUAAGUUCCGUGUGAAAUCUCCCGGCUCAACCGGGAGGGUGCGCGGAAUACUGACGGGCUAGAGUGCGGGAUGGGAGAGUAGAAUUCCUGGUGUAGCGGUGAAAUGCGUAGAUAUCAGGAGGAAUACCGGUGGUGUAGACGGCUCUCUGGACCGCAACUGACGCUGAGACACGAAAGCGUGGGUAGCAAACAGGAUUAGAUACCCUGGUAGUCCACGCCCUAAACGAUGCAUAUUUGGUGUAGGUCAUUCAGUUGAUCUGUGCCGGAGCUAACGCGUUAAAUAUGCCGCCUGGGGAGUACAGUCGCAAGGCUGAAACUCAAAGGAAUUGACG